UUAAUUAGAUCAGCAGCCGAGAAGACUGAACGACGUCGUCGUCGCUCUUUCUUUCGACGCAAAGGUUAGGGUUAGGGUUAGGGUUUUAGCUCCGGUGAAAUGGCGAAGGAAGCAAAUCGAAAGGACGGCUUCUGCAUUUUUGAAGGAAAGUGAAAUAUGCAUUAAAUUUGACAUGAAAAAUGUCUGAUUCCUUGAGUAGUGGAAACUCAUCCUUUUUAAGAAGCCUACCUCAUUCUUUAAUUAGCAUUCAUUCCUUCAAUAAUGCCAGGUUUCUUUGCAGGACAGUGAAGCUGCUAUAGUUUCUUUGCGGACUUUAGAGGGACGGGUAACAACCUGAGAGAAUUGCUACAACAAGAUCCAGCUCUUGGUUGCCAAAUUAUGUCAAGAGUGGCGACAUUGUUUUUGGCAUCUAUUAAGUUUAACACAUGAUGUAAGUUUAUCCGUCAGCACGUGUCCACCAAUGUAUAUUUUUUAUAUUGUCGCGUAUUUUCUCUAUCAAUCCCUAGAUUUAGAUCUAACAACUCUACUCGAUGACCCCUCAUUUUAUUUUUAAGUUUUCUUUUUAACUUCUUUCCCUUUCGUGCUAGCAGGCAAGACUACUGUUUUAAUUGAAUACUAGUUCUAAACAUGUUUAUGUCAUCGGGGUUCAUGUCAUUGUACUAGCUCUGUGAAGAUUAGAUUAGCGCGUUAAGACAAAGAUCAACGAGCUUUGCGGCAGUUUAUAAAAAAAAUAGAAAACUUAAACAUGAUUGAAUUUAGUAGUAAUUACGAGUUCUUUAGCACUAGAAGCCACCUAGUACUGUGGCAUCGGUUUAACAUUAUCUUUAUUCUUAUAUAAUAUUUCUCUUGCAAUCUUGCUCUGCUAAUUUUUGUCCAGAAGGUUUGAAAUGUUGCUUCUAUGAAACUAGUGUUUUUAUCGGGUUAAUUUCACACACACCAAGAAAUUUGGCCUGUUUUCAGAUGACCUCCAAAAAGUUUGGAAAUGCCACUUAAAUCUUCUAAACAUUUUUAGAUAAUCCCCAAAAAGUUGAGGGUUAUCUGGAAGAAAAAAAAGAUUCAGAAAACAUCCAACAACCUUAUUUCCACCGAUUUACUAUUGAACUAGAUGUUAGUGAAAGUCGCGCAAGUUGGUUAGUCAUAAAUAAAUAUCAACAAGAUUAAAAACUUUGGGAGUAAAAUGCUUAUAAUUGAAGUUGACAAUCUACACUUUGUGUUGGGAAUUUAACGCCGAAAUCCCUAAUGCAACAGAAACGCAGUAUAGAGAACAAUACACAAGAUUUAACGAGGUUCGGCAACUGCCUACGUCCUCAGGAGCCACACAGUCAAUUUCUUAUUUAAUCUAACAAGAAAUUACAAAUUAAGAGCAAAUCUCUAAACUGAGAUUUCUCAGAUUAAACACUGUAGCUACAGUGUUAAUAUUAAAGGGAAUAAACCCUUUCAAUUUCUCUCACAAUAAAACCCCUCUUUUAUCCUUCUCUCUCUCUAAUCCUUUUCUAAUCUCCCCUCAAAACACCUGAGAGCUGGAGAUUAAAAGGAGUAAAAUCGCUGCUGCGAUUUCAGAGCCGAAGAUGGGAAAAAACGCCGCUGCGUUUUUGGGUCGCCGCCAGCCAGAGAGAAAUCGGAGGAAGGGGAAAAAGCACAAACCCUAGGGCUCGGGGGGGCUUCUUUUAUAGCCAAAAAUUUGACAGGCUGGUGUAGGUGUAAAUUUUGAUCUCCCGGAAACAGGGAGCUUCGUUUGUAUUGAUAAGAAGGCUUAUUACAAACUAAUAAAUCAAAUGUUUACA